UAGGGCAUUCCUUAGUACGGCGAGUGAGCGGGAAUAGCUCAAAUUUGAAAGCUGGCAGCAAUGUCCGCGUUGUAAUCUAGAGAAGUGUUUUCCGUGCUGGACCAUAGAUAUGUUCCUUGGAAUAGGAUGUCAUAGAGGGUGAGAACCCCGUACAUGCUAUGGACGCCCAGUGCUUUGUGAUACACUUUCGAAGAGUCGAGUUGUUUGGGAAUGCAGCUCAAAAUGGGUGGUAAAUUCCAUCUAAAGCUAAAUAUUGGGGAGAGACCGAUAGCAAACAAGUACCGUGAGGGAAAGAUGAAAAGCACUUUGGAAAGAGAGUUAAACAGUACGUGAAAUUGUCAAAAGGGAAGCGCUUCAAGUCAGAUAUGGCUUUGAAUGUUCAGCCUUUAGGUGUAUUCAUUUUUUGUCAGGCCAGCAUCGAUUUUGAACGUCGGAUAAGGGUAGAAAGAACGUAGCAUACUCUCGGGUAUGUGUUAUAGCUUUUUACUGGAUACGACGAUCGGGAUCGAGGUUCGCAGCACACCCUUUUUUGGGCAGGUCUUCGGACACUUUUUGUGCUUAGGAUGCUGGCGUAAUGGCUUGAAGCGACCCGUCUUGACC
rnacentral:rRNA from 1 species